UCAGACUUUAAAAAUAUUGAAUUUGAUGCCUAUAUAAUUCCUCAAGAAAAUUUAAAAAAAUUU
rnacentral:tRNA from 1 species